rnacentral:rRNA from 1 species
GAUGAACGCUGGCGGCGUGCCUAAUACAUGCAAGUCGAGCGAACGGACGAGAAGCUUGCUUCUCUGAUGUUAGCGGCGGACGGGUGAGUAACACGUGGAUAACCUACCUAUAAGACUGGGAUAACUUCGGGAAACCGGAGCUAAUACCGGAUGAUAUUUUGAACCGCAUGGUUCAAAAGUGAAAGACGGUCUUGCUGUCACUUAUAGAUGGAUCCGCGCUGCAUUAGCUAGUUGGUAAGGUAACGGCCUACCAAGGCAACGAUGCAUAGCCGACCUGAGAGGAUGAUCGGCCACACUGGAACUGAGACACGGUCCAGACUCCUACGGGAGGCAGCAGUAGGGAAUCUUCCACAAUGGGCGAAAGCCUGACGCAGCAAUGCCGCGUGAGUGAUGAAGGUCUUCGGAUCGUAAAGCUCUGUUAUUAGGGAAGAACAUAUGUGGAAGUAACUGUGCAUAUCUUGACGGUACCUAAUCAGAAAGCCACGGCUAACUACGUG